rnacentral:rRNA from 1 species
UACAGAGGGGGCAAGCGUUGUUCGGAAUUACUGGGCGUAAAGGGCGCGUAGGCGGCCUGCUAAGUCGAACGUGAAAUCCCCGGGCUCAACCCGGGAACUGCGUCCGAUACUGGCAGGCUUGAAUCCGGGAGAGGGAUGUGGAAUUCCAGGUGUAGCGGUGAAUGCGUAGAUAUCUGGAGGAACACCGGUGGCGAAGGCGGCAUCCUGGACCGGUAUUGACGCUGAUGCGCGAAAGCCAGGGGA